CCUACGGGGGGCUGCAGUGGGGAAUAUUGCACAAUGGGCGCAAGCCUGAUGCAGCAACGCCGCGUGAGUGAUGAAGGCCUUCGGGUUGUAAAACUCUGUCCUAUGGGAAGAAACAAAUGACGGUACCAUGGGAGGAAGCCCCGGCUAACUACGUGCCAGCAGCCGCGGUAAUACGUAGGGGGCAAGCGUUAUCCGGAAUCACUGGGCGUAAAGGGUGCGUAGGUGGCUUAUCAAGCCAGAGGUGAAAGGCAGUGGCUCAACCAUUGUAAGCCUUUGGAACUGAUUAGCUUGAGUGCAGGAGAGGUAAGUGGAAUUCCUAGUGUAGAGGUGAAAUUCGUAGAUAUUAGGAGGAACACCAGUGGCGAAGGCGACUUACUGGACUGUAACUGACACUGAGGCACGAAAGCGUGGGUAGCGAACAGGAUUAGAUACCCCAGUAGUC
rnacentral:rRNA from 1 species